GACGUACUGCGCGAACGUUAUUCGGAAUCACUGGGCUUAAAGGGUGCGCAGGCGGCUCUCCAAGCCCGUGGUGAAAGGCUCCGGCCCAACCGGGGACGUGCUUCGGGGACUGGAGAGCUCGGGCGAGCUAGGGGUCUGUGGAACUCCCGGUGGAGCGGUGAAAUGUGUUGAGAUCGGGAGGAACGCCGGUGGCGAAAGCGACAGACUGGGGCUUGGCCGACGCUCAUGCACGAAAGCCAGGGGAGCGAACGGG
rnacentral:rRNA from 1 species